UGGGGAAUAUUGGGCAAUGGGCGCAAGCCUGACCCAGCCACGCCGCGUGAGUGAUGAAGGCCUUCGGGUCGUAAAGCUCUGUGGGGAGGGACGAAAGCCCACGACCUAACACGUCGUGGUUUGACGGUACCUCCUUAGCAAGCACCGGCUAACUCCGUGCCAGCAGCCGCGGUAAUACGGAGGGUGCAAACGUUGCUCGGAAUCAUUGGGCGUAAAGCGCACGUAGGCGGUCCCUUAAGUCGGGUGUGAAAGCCCUCGGCUUAACCGAGGAAGUGCAUUCGAAACUGGGGGACUUGAAUACUGGAGAGGAUGGCGGAAUUCCCGGUGUAGAGGUGAAAUUCGUAGAUAUCGGGAGGAACACCAGCGGCGAAGGCGGCCAUCUGGACAGAUAUUGACGCUGAGGUGCGAAAGCGUGGGGAGCAAACAGG
rnacentral:rRNA from 1 species